GGGGAUGUAGCUCAAUUUGGUUAGAGCACCGGACUGUCGAUCCGGAGGUUGCGAGUUCGAGUCUCGUCAUCCUCGCCA
rnacentral:tRNA from 1 species